CAGCGUGUACCUUAUUUGCUCUAGAUUUAACCAGGACUUGCCUCCUUCCUCCUUCCUGAGAGCUCUGAAGCUGUCUAACAAGUCCAGUCAGUUCUGAACCGAGGAAGCCAGAUAAUCCGUCUGCUUAUUGGAGACUGCUAAUCCAGAAAGACGACUUUCAUCACCGAAGGUAUCUUCCAGGCUCUGCAAAUCCCAGAGGAUCUGUCUCCUUCCUUCACACAAGCCUCGGCGCUGGCUUCGUUUCUGAAAUCACCGGCACUGGCUGAGCUCUGCUUCUUGGCUGGGGCUGAAGAAACGAUAUGAUCCUGUGCUCUUCCUUCCACAGUAAUUAUCAGCAUAUUCCGCUCGCAUUAUCAAACAUCCCGCCUCACAGAAGCCGUGUUCACAUCCAAAAUACC
rnacentral:lncRNA from 1 species